CACAGGCUCGGGUCACUUCCUGGGCGUCGUACAGCGGAGCAGGAUCCAAGGAGUGGGCGUUGAUCAGACUCACCAGAUACUCCCUGUAGUGUUUCCUGUAGAGAUGAGCGCAGACAGACCACUGACAUCGUUCCAUGACAUGAUCACCUGCUUUUUUGGGAUUUCCAAGUUAUGUGGGAGCCUUGUCUUGUGUGACCUCACCUUGUGGUAUGGGUUGUUGCAGCCGCUGCAGAACUGGUACCUGCACUGGGAGCAGGUGAAGUGCAUGCAACCACCUUUGGUCAGAGCAUACUGGAACCGACAGUGAGGGCAGGCUGGAAGAAAACACCACAGCCAGGUAUCCAGCUAGACCCUGUCUCUGGUAUUCCGGAUCGUUCUCCCUCUUCCACUGCUGGAACUGCUCACAGGACAGAUCCUGGUGCUGAGGCUCCCACUGCAAACACAG